rnacentral:rRNA from 1 species
UUGAACGCUGGCGGCAGGCCUAACACAUGCAAGUCGAGCGGUAGCACAGAGAGCUUGCUCUCGGGUGACGAGCGGCGGACGGGUGAGUAAUGUCUGGGAAACUGCCUGAUGGAGGGGGAUAACUACUGGAAACGGUAGCUAAUACCGCAUAACGUCGCAAGACCAAAGUGGGGGACCUUCGGGCCUCAUGCCAUCAGAUGUGCCCAGAUGGGAUUAGCUAGUAGGUGGGGUAAUGGCUCACCUAGGCGACGAUCCCUAGCUGGUCUGAGAGGAUGACCAGCCACACUGGAACUGAGACACGGUCCAGACUCCUACGGGAGGCAGCAGUGGGGAAUAUUGCACAAUGGGCGCAAGCCUGGUGCAGCCAUGCCGCGUGUGUGAAGAAGGCCUUCGGGUUGUAAAGCACUUUCAGCGGGGAGGAAGGCGAUAAGGUUAAUAACCUUGUCGAUUGACGUUACCCGCAGAAGAAGCACCGGCUAACUCCGUGCCAGCAGCCGCGGUAAUACGGAGGGUGCAAGCGUUAAUCGGAAUUACUGGGCGUAAAGCGCACGCAGGCGGUCUGUCAAGUCGGAUGUGAAAUCCCCGGGCUCAACCUGGGAACUGCAUUCGAAACUGGCAGGCUAGAGUCUUGUAGAGGGGGGUAGAAUUCCAGGUGUAGCGGUGAAAUGCGUAGAGAUCUGGAGGAAUACCGGUGGCGAAGGCGGCCCCCUGGACAAAGACUGACGCUCAGGUGCGAAAGCGUGGGGAGCAAACAGGAUUAGAUACCCUGGUAGUCCACGCCGUAAACGAUGUCGAUUUGGAGGUUGUGCCCUUGAGGCGUGGCUUCCGGAGCUAACGCGUUAAAUCGACCGCCUGGGGAGUACGGCCGCAAGGUUAAAACUCAAAUGAAUUGACGGGGGCCCGCACAAGCGGUGGAGCAUGUGGUUUAAUUCGAUGCAACGCGAAGAACCUUACCUGGUCUUGACAUCCACAGAACUUUCCAGAGAUGGAUUGGUGCCUUCGGGAACUGUGAGACAGGUGCUGCAUGGCUGUCGUCAGCUCGUGUUGUGAAAUGUUGGGUUAAGUCCCGCAACGAGCGCAACCCUUAUCCUUUGUUGCCAGCGGUUAGGCCGGGAACUCAAAGGAGACUGCCAGUGAUAAACUGGAGGAAGGUGGGGAUGACGUCAAGUCAUCAUGGCCCUUACGACCAGGGCUACACACGUGCUACAAUGGCAUAUACAAAGAGAAGCGACCUCGCGAGAGCAAGCGGACCUCAUAAAGUAUGUCGUAGUCCGGAUUGGAGUCUGCAACUCGACUCCAUGAAGUCGGAAUCGCUAGUAAUCGUAGAUCAGAAUGCUACGGUGAAUACGUUCCCGGGCCUUGUACACACCGCCCGUCACACCAUGGGAGUGGGUUGCAAAAGAAGUAGGUAGCUUAACCUUCGGGAGGGCGCUUACCACUUUGUGAUUCAUGACUGGGGUG